CGGUCGGGAGAUUGGUAUUCCUCUGUGAUUGAUUGGCCGCCGUGAUUUGACGAGCUGAUGACGGACGACGUCCUUACACGGACUGACACGCUGCGGGGGCUGUGUGUGAAUGUCAUAUGCUGUCGUGUGUCAAACCCUCUGCUUGACAUCCCCCGAGGCUUCUCCCCUUCCUGCUCCAUCGCCCUCCGAGGCUCCUCCCCUUCCUGUUCCAUCGCCCUCCGAGGCUCCUCCCCUUCCUGCUCCAUCGCCCUCCGAGGCUCCUCCCCUUCCUGUUCCAUCGCCCUCCGAGGCUCCUCCCUGUCCUGUCCCACCGCCCGCUGCCCCCCUGUGCUCCUGGCUGCCCCCCACUGUGUGUCUGUCAGGACGUCCCAUCAGCCUCUAACUCCUCCUCUGUCCCCCCCAGCUGAUCCAGCGGCUCCGCGGGCCAUGUGGGCGGGACACGCCCCCGCUGGGGGAGCUGCUCAACUGGAGGCGGGCACAGUGCGAGGGGCGGGGGGACUGGAGGCCCCGCCCACCCCCCCAGGCCCCGCCCCUAACCCCCGAGCUGCUCUGGGCCAAUAGGAAUGGCUCCUCGUGACGGCAGAGGCCUGCAGGAGACCCCCCAUCGCCGCCCCCGUGUGUGGUGAUGGCGCCGUCUCUCGGAGGUGACCCGCGCUGACGCUUGGACCGGACCGGGGCCUCCCCCAGACCAUGAGCCCCUCCAGACCCGCCCGCCCCCCCCAGAGGCCAGCGGUCUGAGGGGGGCGGGCCCUCAUCCAGAGGUCCAUGAGCUGGGCGGUCACUACCACCUCCUCCACCUCCACCUCCUCCACCACCUCCACCACCUCCACCUUUAUCUCCGCCUCCUUCACCUCCCCCUCCUCCUCCACCUCCUCCACCUCAAUCUCCACCUACAGCCCCUCCUCCACCUCCUCCUCCACCUCCACCUCCUCCACCUCCUCCACCACUACUGCACCUAACUUUAAGUGCCGUCUUAAGGGAACCCUGUGGUUUGUGCUGUAGUUACAGCAGAGCCUCAGGCUCUGCCAAAGUGACAUGCAGUUAGACAUGUGGGAAACUAGCAUGGCUAGCUAGCAUGGCCAGCUAGCAUGGCUAGCUCCAGCAACACACAUGGUGCACACAGCACUUUCUACAGCAAAGGCUAGGGUUAGCCUUUAGCCUGUGGGCCACAAUCCAUACUGCCGGACAAGCCUAUGCCCGUUGGACCUGUGCUACAAAAGAUGACAUAAAGACCAAUACAAUGAAAAACCAACUGAUUACAUUAAAGGCACUCUGUGUAAGAAUCAGGACCUCCUCCUCGUCACUGCCCCCUCUGGUCGGUAAGUGAACUGCAGCCUGCUGGAGGACCUCAGGGCUGUGGGGGCCAGCUCAGUGAGACAAUACCAAUCAGAAACUGAUGAGUAGUAGUACCUGGUCAUAGCUAUUAAAAAAAGACAUGUAUGCAAUUAUUUGAUGUGGCCGUGGGGGUCUGGGGAGAUCUGGGUGGUCUGGGGGGGUCUUGGCACCUCCUCCUGAACCUCCAGAACACUGACGGGGCUCCCCAUCGUGACCUUUGGCCUUCUCCUCGUCCCCCCCACUCCAAACCCACCGCCCUCCUAUUGGACCAGACCGGCUCCAAGGCGUCUCCGUGGUAACCACCCUGUAAAUAGAUUGUUCCUGUUUAAGCUGAAGAGAUACAAGCGCAGGUGAUCAGAGGAACCAGAUCACCUGUGAAGGAACCUG
ensembl:lncRNA